rnacentral:rRNA from 4 species
UACGGAGGGCGCAAGCGUUGUUCGGAAUUACUGGGCGUAAAGCGCGUGUAGGCGGCCAGGUAAGUCGGAUGUGAAAGCCCGGGGCCCAACCCCGGAACUGCACCCGAUACUGCCUGGCUGGAGUCCCGGAGAGGAUGGCGGAAUUUCCGGUGUAGAGGUGAAAUUCGUAGAUAUCGGAAGGAACACCAGUGGCGAAGGCGGCCAUCUGGACGGUGACUGACGCUGAGACGCGAAAGCGUGGGGAGCAAACAGG